GACGAACGCUGGCGGCGUGCUUAACACAUGCAAGUCGAACGGAAAGGCCCUGCUUUUGUGGGGUGCUCGAGUGGCGAACGGGUGAGUAACACGUGAGUAACCUGCCCUUGACUUUGGGAUAACUUCAGGAAACUGGGGCUAAUACCGGAUAGGAGCUCCUGCUGCAUGGUGGGGGUUGGAAAGUUUCGGCGGUUGGGGAUGGACUCGCGGCUUAUCAGCUUGUUGGUGGGGUAGUGGCUUACCAAGGCUUUGACGGGUAGCCGGCCUGAGAGGGUGACCGGCCACAUUGGGACUGAGAUACGGCCCAGACUCCUACGGGAGGCAGCAGUGGGGAAUAUUGCACAAUGGGCGGAAGCCUGAUGCAGCAACGCCCGUGCGGGAUGACGGCCUUCGGGUUGUAAACCGCUUUCGCCUGUGACGAAGCGUGAGUGACGGUAAUGGGUAAAGAAGCACCGGCUAACUACGUG
rnacentral:rRNA from 1 species